GUAAUUGUGUGCUAUUACUUGGUUGGCUCUGUUGCGAAAUAUAUUUCAUUGGGACAAUGUUGAUCCCUUUAUCUUCAAUUAGUCACUAUAAAAUUAGAAUUCAAUUAUUAGCAUUUAAAAUCAUCGUUCUUAAAUUGAGAACCCAUAAAAUUGGAUCUUGGUUCCACCUCUAAUUAUAAACAUCUCUACUUUUAGGAAGG
rnacentral:lncRNA from 1 species